AGUGAACGCUGGCGGCAGGCCUAACACAUGCAAGUCGAACGGCAGCACAGAGGAGCUUGCUCCUUGGGUGGCGAGUGGCGGACGGGUGAGGAAUGCGUCGGAAUCUGCCUUUUUGUGGGGGAUAACGUAGGGAAACUUACGCUAAUACCGCAUACGACCUACGGGUGAAAGUGGGGGACCGCAAGGCCUCACGCAGAAAGAUGAGCCGACGCCGGAUUAGCUAGUUGGCGGGGUAAAGGCCCACCAAGGCGACGAUCCGUAGCUGGUCUGAGGGGAUGAUCAGCCACACUGGGACUGAGACACGGCCCAGACUCCUACGGGAGGCAGCAGUGGGGAAUAUUGGACAAUGGGCGCAAGCCUGAUCCAGCCAUGCCGCGUGUGUGAAGAAGGCCUUCGGGUUGUAAAGCACUUUUGUCCGGAAAGAAAUCCUUUCGAUUAAUACUCGGGAGGGAUGACGGUACCGGAAGAAUAAGCACCGGCUAACUUCGUGCCAGCAGCCGCAGUAACAC
rnacentral:rRNA from 1 species